AGUCGAACGGUGGCAGCAAUGUCAUAGUGGCGCACGGGUGCGUAACACGUAACUAACCUACCUAUAACUGGGGGAUAGCCCGCCGAAAGGCGGAUUAAUACCGCAUAAGCUGUUUGAGUGGCAUCACUCGAUUAGUAAAGAUUUAUUGGUUAUAGAUGGGGUUGCGGGUCAUUAGCUAGUUGGUAAGGUAACGGCUUACCAAGGCGACGAUGACUAGGGGAGCUGAGAGGCUGGUCCCCCACACGGGCACUGAGAUACGGGCCCGACUCCUACGGGAGGCAGCAGUAGGGAAUAUUGGGCAAUGGGCGAGAGCCUGACCCAGCCAUGCCGCGUGCAGGAAGAAGGCUUUCUGGGUCGUAAACUGCUUUUGACAGGGAAGAAUAAGGACUACGUGUAGUCUGAUGACGGUACCUGCAGAAUAAGCACCGGCUAACUCCGUGCCAGCAGCCGCGGUAAUACGGAGGGUGCGAGCGUUGUCCGGAUUUAUUGGGUUUAAAGGGUGCGUAGGCGGCCGCUUAAGUCUGGGGUGAAAGCCCGCUGCUCAACAGCGGAACUGCCCUGGAUACUGGACGGCUUGAGUACAGACGAGGUUGGCGGAAUGGACAGAGUAGCGGUGAAAUGCAUAGAUACUGUCCAGAACCCCGAUUGCGAAGGCAGCUGACUAGGCUGUUACUGACGCUGAGGCACGAAAGCGUGGGGAGCGAACAGGAUUAGAUACUCUGGUAGUCCACGCCGUAAACGAUGGAUACUCGCUGCGAGCUAAAGAUUGUUCGUGGCUUAGGGAAACCGAUAAGUAUCCCACCUGGGGAGUACGCUCGCAAGAGUGAAACUCAAAGGAAUUGAC
rnacentral:rRNA from 1 species